rnacentral:rRNA from 1 species
ACGGCGAGUGAACCGGGAAAAGCUCAAAUUUGAAAUCUGGCUGUCUUCGAUAGUCCGAGUUGUAAUCUAUAGAAGCGUUUUCCGUGCUGAACUGUGUAUAAGUGUCUUGGAACAGACUAUCAAAGAGGGUGACAAUCCCGUACUUUACACAAUCAUCAGUGCUCUGUGAUACGUUCUCUACGAGUCGAGUUGUUUGGGAAUGCAGCUCAAAAUGGGUGGUAAAUUCCAUCUAAAGCUAAAUAUUGGCGAGAGACCGAUAGCGAACAAGUACCGUGAGGGAAAGAUGAAAAGCACUUUGGAAAGAGAGUUAAACAGUACGUGAAAUUGUUAAAAGGGAAACGAUUGAAGUCAGUCGUGUUUAUUGGAUUCAGCCGGUCUUCGGUGUACUUCCUUUAAACGGGUCAACAUCAGUUUUGUCCGGUGGAUAAAGGCAGUAGGAAUGUGGCUCCCUCGGGAGUGUUAUAGCCUAUUGUCACAUACACUGGAGGAGACUGAGGACUGCAGCUCGCCUUUUUGGCCGGGGUUCGCCCACGUUCGAGCU